rnacentral:rRNA from 1 species
CUACGGGGUGCAGCAGUGGGGAAUAUUGGACAAUGGGCGCAAGCCUGAUCCAGCAAUGCCGCGUGUGUGAAGAAGGCCUGCGGGUUGUAAGGCACUUUCAAUUGGGAGGAAAAGCGGUCGGUUAAUACCCGGCCGACUUGACGUUACCUUUAGAAGAAGCACCGGCUAACUCCGUGCCAGCAGCCGCGGUAAUACGGAGGGUGCAAGCGGUAAUCGGAAUUACUGGGCGUAAAGCGCGCGUAGGUGGCUAGAUAAGUCGGAUGUGAAAGCCCUGGGCUCAACCUGGGAAUGGCAUUCGAUACUGUCUGGCUAGAGUCUGGUAGAGGGAAGUGGAAUUCCAGGUGUAGCGGUGAGAUGCGUAGAUAUCUGGAGGAACACCAGUGGCGAAGGCGACUUCCUGGACCAAGACUGACACUGAGGUGCGAAAGCGUGGGUAGCAAACAGGAUUAGAUACCCCUGUAGUC